rfam:Camelus ferus unplaced genomic scaffold scaffold129, whole genome shotgun sequence.
GAGGGUAUAGCUGAGUGGUAGAGUGCAUGCUUAGCAUCCUGGGUUCAAUCCCCAGUACCUCUG